rnacentral:rRNA from 1 species
GAUGAACGCUGGCGGCGUGCUUAAUACAUGCAAGUCGAACGGAAAGGCGCUGCUUUCGGUGUACUCGAGUGACGAACGGGCGGGUAACUCAUACGUGGAUUGCCCUGCUCUUCGGCUUAAACCACUUCAACUAGGCGUAACUACUGCCAGGUGCCAUUUUUAGCGGGAUGGUUGGAAAGUGAUUUAGGUUUUGGAUGAGCUUGCUGCGUAUCAGCUUGCUGGUGGGGUUAUGGCCUACCAAGGCGGCGACGGGUAGCCGGCCUGAGAGGGUGGACGGCCACAUUGGGACCGAGGUGCGGCCGAGACACGUAAGGGAGGCAGCAGUGGGGAAUAUUGCACAAGGGGCGCAAGCCUGAUGAAGCGAGGCCGCGUGGGGGAUGACGGCCUUCGGGUUGUAAACUCCUUUCGCUAGGGACGAAGCUUUUUGUGACGGUACCUAGAUAAGAAGCACCGGCUAACUACGUG